rnacentral:lncRNA from 1 species
GCUUGUUUUCUCCAUACCUUUUAUUGAACUCUGCAGACUUCAUUAAGGGACCAUUUUCUUGCAAAUUCUUAAACAUUUGGACAUAUUUUACAAGACAGGACGGAGCUGGAGGUCACACAAGGAUCACAAUUUCAUCUCACUACAUGCAUAAAAAGACGCCGGGAUUUUUGUUGUUUCGUUUCCAUGUGUGUGUGUGUGUGUGAGCAUGAGCAUGCUCAAUGCUUAUUUUCACCAUUACAGGAAGGACUAGAGAAGUCAACUGCUGAAAAAUGAACAGGACCCACAAACGCAACCCGAGAAGAGUGGUUGAGGACAUUGGUUGUUUAUGGCUAAUGUAAUUGGCUUGGUCCCCAUCAUGGGUGGGGUGAUCAGAAUGGCUUUGCUGGCAGAAAAGCCCCAACCUCACACUGCAGGUUCCUGGGAGGGACAGAGGAUAUUAGCUGAUGGCAUUGGGGCAUAUGCUGUCAUGGAGGGCUUCAGGGCUCAGAUAAAAGGAGAGCAUUGGCUCUAACAGCAGGAGGACAGGCAAGCCCUCUCAUGCAGCUGGACUCCGAGGCUCAGGGAAUGUGCUCCAGUUCUAGAUGUUUGUGCCCAUUCCUGCACCAGCAAAUCCCAGACCAAGGGAAACCCCUACUCUUGACCCUUGGCUCAGCCCACUAGAAAUCCACUCUGUGAUCUCCCAUGGGCUGCAUGAGCUAACUGCCAGGCAGGAAAGGAGGGACAGGGCUGGCUGCCCCUGCAGCCCCCUGGAGGUGAGGCUUGGAGAGAGGGCUGUAACCCUUUUCUGGCUGGGGCCUACAAAGGUCAAAUUUGGACGUCGCUAUGGUGCCAGAUCGUGUCCAAGAACAGAUGCCAUUGGUGGGGCAUCAUCUAUGGUCUUCAGUGGCGGGGGGGGGGCUCCCAUUUUUCCUUUCUCCCCAAUUAGCAACACAAACAGCCAGAAAAGAACUCAACUAACUCCCCUCUUCCCCACACACUCAUCCAUCAAUCGUUCCCACAUCCACUCACGAAACGCAACACAACACAGGUGGGAUGACCACUGUGUGCCAAGUGGACAUGUUGGCAGGAAAUCCUGAGUUCCUGAUAGAAAAAGUGGGGCUCCCAGCCCUCAACCUUAGACUGACGUCAAGGUAAACCUGGAGAGAAAGAAGCCAGUUUCCAGCUCACUUACUGCCACACCCAGCUCGUGGCUGUUGAGCCCCAAGCCCCAGACAGGGCUAUGCAGAGGACGGAUUCAAACCUUUGGCCCACUCAUCCCAGCCCCGCUUAGCUCAGGGGGCAGGAAGUGACAGGCGAUCCCUAGGCGGCUGGAGUGCAUGCAAAUGGGACGGAAUUGGGAGUUUCCUACAUCUUCACAAAUUGUCCUGAUACAGUAGUCUUACAUCUUGAGCAAUUUCUGCAGGGCACAGCCUCCAUGACAUGAGACCUUAGAAACUGGGUUUUGUUUGGUUUGGUUUUGGAGGAAGGCAGAUGCUCAUUCUGCCCAUCCAAACGCAUUGGCCCGUCUCACCUUAUAUAAACCUAAGACCACCUGGACCCGGGCUCAACCUGGUGUUGAAGUCCCACCUCCUCCAAAGCUACUGUAGGCAACUGAGGCCCCAGGCCAAAGGCUCUGGGCAGAUUAAGCAGGAGCCAGGCCUGGAGGGAAGGGAUAUGGGGUUGGGGGUACAGGCACUCUUCUUACAGACAGCCCAAGCUUUGUUUUGUUGUAAGGCUGAUUAUGGCUGCCUGUCUUUUUGCCUUUUUAAAUCAUAUCAUGGGUGGAGAUUUCUGAAGGUCUUGCAUGGGAUAUCCUGUUUUAUUUAGGGUAGUGGUAAGGAAGCCCUUUGGAAGGUGCCAUUUGUGAUUGCCUGGGCAGUGGCUGGCUGCUAGUGCUAAAAGACCACUGCAUCAUCUCUUUGAGGGCACAGGAUCUGGGCAGAAGGGCUGAAGCACCAUGAGGCAGUUGGCCAGAGAUGGGGACUUUGUGGAUUGCUCCUUGGCUGGCCGGGGGAAGGGUCGCAUGUGUCCCAUCCCAGUGUGGUCCCUAUUAGGUCCCUGGGGUUGGGCUGGCAGGGUGUUGACAGAGUGCGAGGCAGGGAGUGGGAUGGAACCAGGGUGCCCUGCUACCUUCCUGCUUUGGCAUCCCCCGUGAGGGCUCCAAGUCCUAGAACCUGAGCUCCUGCUAACUAUGCUCCAUCCUUGCCUUAAGGCUGUGCCCAGAAUGUACAACACACACACACACACACACACACACACACACAACCAGGAAGCAGAGAGAAUUUCCCUCAUUUUUCAGUCCAGUUUCCAUGCAAGGCUAAGAAUACUUUGCAAUACCACUUUGUACACGAAGCAGGCUCCCUUUAAAUACUUGUGGGGAAGGGAUGAAAGCUCAUUACCCGCCAUGCAAUGGGCUUCAUGGGUAGACACCCCAACCUGUUAGACGGACUUCCUUAAUUUGAGCUGAAAUUGACUUCCCUGUCCCUCUCAUGCAAGAGAAAAUGACAGGGACCUGCGUGGGUGCAGCCAUCUGGAAGAUGGGGGGCUUCUUCUUCAGCUCAACUGCUCUACUCUACCCCAUCCUGGCCAGGCUUUAGGGGAUCUUUUCAGCACCCUUGCUGGGAAAAAUAAAGUUAGGGUUAGAAGUGAAGAGCUAGAUGAGUUUGCUCUAAUAAUAGCCCCUUCCAAAAUGGAUUCUUCAGGAGCUCAGUUUCUUGGAAAGUUCAGCAGAAAACCCAGGUUAAGAUAGCAUCAGGGACUGUGGAUGGAAACCCAGGCUAUACAACCAACCUUUUUCGUAAUGAGGACAACCACAGGCAGGCGUGUUUGCUUAUCUGGGCACUGAACCUGGGAAACUAUUGGGAGGUAAUUUUUUGGUUUUGUUCUUCUUAUGCAAAAGUUUUUUGUUUUUGUUUUUAAUCUUGUCUGUUCUAUUUGUCUCUGGUUUGAAUCAGAUCAGCAGGACUUUUGGGGGUGGGAAACUGCUUAGGGUCAUGGUCCAGAAUAAUAACAAUGAACUUGGGUUGGCUUCCUCUUGGGAUUGAGCUGGUGAGGAUGGUUCACUGCUUUCUGGGGGUCCUGGUUUGGGUCAAAUCUCUGCUACUGGGCAGAGCCCAGAGCCCCACGGCUGAUAGGGAGGCAAGUGGUAGAUCAAAGCCGGGAUGAAUGCAGACUGGAGAUUCCCUGGCCCUUCUUUAUCAUCCUGCAAGAGUGGAUGGAUGGAGAUCACUUUCCCUUAAAGAUCCUGCUCAGUGAGAUGUCGUCUGCCUAUCUGACAAGGAAUUAAUUAUCAGGAUGAUCCAAGAACUCUCCAAGCCUUGGAGAGGUGGAAACUGGAAAAGUACCACGAUCUUUGCAAGGACUCUCAUGGAGCCAGCAGCUGGAAAGGGAAGGGGGAUGAGACAGCCGAUUCUGGGAGCAUCCCUUCUGUGUAGGCUAUGGGGUGUCUGGCCACUCUUUCAGUGAGGUGGUUAGAAAUGGACUGAAAUGAGGAACUGAAAAAAGUUGAGAUCUGAGGUCCAGCAUGUUCUUCUGAGGUAUGCAAGAACCUGAACAUGCUCUGGCCUUCAGGUCCAACUGGUGGGAGAGGAGCGUAGGGCAGGGGAUGUGAGAACAUUUGGGCCAGUAAGGACUUGGAAGGGGUCUGGGGGAUGAGAAAACUCAGUCCCUUCAGAUCUCUGGAAGGUGUGGGGCAGGAGCUCAAGCAGCCUGUGUGCCAUCCUGAUUCUGAGGCCAGUUCUAGCCAGCUUUCCUGUCUCACUCCUGUGCUUGUGCCCUAGACUCUUAAGAACAAUGAGGAAGGGCUGGGGAUUUAGCUCAGUGGUUCCACCGCUUGCCCCAGAAGCGCGAGGACCCGAGUUCGAUCCCUGGUACAAAAAAAAGGAACUAUGGGGAAGAGGAAUAUAGACCAGAUGAGGAAAGAGCAGACAUUUCCUAGUGCCAGGGAAUCCCUACAUCAGAAGUCAAGCCCCAAAGUCCACCCUACCUCCCGAGAAUCAGAUUUCAAAGGAAGAAAUGAAAAAACAGCCAAAGGACACAGGAAGAAAUGAAAAAGACCAGAAAAUAUCAGCUACGAUACUGACCAACAAUAAAACUCUUAAGAUAUUACUCUGUAUCAUAAAAGAAGAA